UGAGGGAGCGGGCUUGCUCGCGAAGGCGGUCUUUCAGUUGAUGCAUGUGCUGACUGACCCACCGCAUUCGCGAGCAAGCCCGCUCCCACA
rnacentral:misc_RNA from 1 species